rnacentral:rRNA from 1 species
AUUGAACGCUGGCGGAAUGCUUUACACAUGCAAGUCGGGCGGCAGCGCGGGGGGCAACCCUGGCGGCGAGCGGCGAACGGGUGAGUAAUACAUCGGAACGUGUCCUUGAGUGGGGGAUAGCUCGGCGAAAGCCGGAUUAAUACCGCAUAAGCUCUGAGGAGGAAAGCGGGGGACUGGUAACGGCCUCGCGCUGUUGGAGCGGCCGAUGUCGGAUUAGCUAGUUGGUGGGGAAAGGCCCACCAAGGCGACGAUCCGUAGCUGGUCUGAGAGGAUGAUCAGCCACACUGGAACUGAGACACGGUCCAGACUCCUACGGGAGGCAGCAGUGGGGAAUUUUGGACAA